AUUGAACGCUGGCGGCGUGGCUAAAGCAUGCAAGUCGAGCGAACCCGCAAGGGUGAGCGGCGGACGGGUUAGUAAUACGAUCGAACGUGCCCUGAGGCGGGGGAUAGGCGUGGGAAACUGCGCGUAAUACCCCAUGAUCUCUCCGGAGCAAAGGUUUACCACCUUGGGAUCGGCGAUCGUCCUAUCAGCUAGUUGGCGGGGUAAAGGCCCACCAAGGCUAUGACGGGUAGCAGGUGUGAGAGCACGACCUGCAGCAUCGGGACUGAGACACUGCCCGGACUCCUACGGGAGGCUGCAGCGACGAAUCUUCCGCAAUGGGCGCAAGCCUGACGGAGCGACGCCGCGUGUGGGAUGAAGCGCCUUCGGCGUGUAAACCACUGUCAGGGAACAGAACCAAUGAUCGUUCCCAAAGGAAGAGACGCUAA
rnacentral:rRNA from 1 species